CCUACGGGGGGCUGCAGUGGGGAAUCUUGCACAAUGGGGGAAACCCUGAUGCAGCAACGCCGCGUGCGCGAUGAAGGCCUUCGGGUCGUAAAGCUCUGUCCUACGGGAAGAAUCCUGACGGUACCUUAGGAGGAAGCCGCGGCAAAUAACGUUCCAGCAGCCGGGGUAAUACGCAGGGGGAGCGCGUUAUCCGGAAUUACUGGGGGUAAAGGGUGCGGAGGCGGGAAUUCAAGUGAGGGGUGAAGGUCUUGGGCUAAACCGUAGUAAGCAUUUGAAACUGAAGCGCUUGAGUGAAGGAGAGGAGAGUGGAAUUCCCGGUGUAGCGGUGAAAUGCGUAGAUAUUGGGAGGAACACCAGUGGCGAAGGCGGCUCUCUGGACUGUAGCUGGCGCUGAGGCACGAAAGCGUGGGGAGCAAACAGGAUUAGAUACCCGAGUAGUC
rnacentral:rRNA from 1 species